AGAGUUUGAUCCUGGCUCAGGACGAACGCUGGCGGCGUGCCUAACACAUGCAAGUCGAACGAAGUAUAUUUUCGGAUAUGCUUAGUGGCGGACGGGUGAGUAACGCGUGAACAAUCUGCCCUGUACACAGGAAUAGCCUCGGGAAACUGGGAUUAAAACCGGAUAACACUUUCUGGCCGCAUGGCCGGGAAGUCAAAUUGAUUUAGAGGUACAGGAUGAGUUCGCGUCUGAUUAGCUAGUUGGUGAGGUAACGGCUCACCAAGGCGACGAUCAGUAGCCGGCCUGAGAGGGUGAACGGCCACACUGGAACUGAGACACGGUCCAGACUCCUACGGGAGGCAGCAGUGGGGAAUAUUGCACAAUGGAGGAAACUCUGAUGCAGCGACGCCGCGUGAGUGAGGAAGGUCUUCGGAUCGUAAAACUCUGUCCUUGGUGACGAAAAAAUGACGGUAGCCAAGGAGGAAGCCCCGGCUAACUACGUGCCAGCAGCCGCGGUAAUACGUAGGGGGCGAGCGUUGUCCGGAUUUACUGGGCGUAAAGGGUGAGUAGGCGGUAAUAUGUGUCAGAUGUAAAAGGCUAUGGCUUAACCAUAGUUGGCAUUUGAAACUGUAUUACUUGAGUGCAGGAGAGGUAAGUGGAAUUCCUAGUGUAGCGGUGAAAUGCGUAGAUAUUAGGAGGAACACCAGUGGCGAAGGCGACUUACUGGACUGUAACUGACGCUGAGUCACGAAAGCGUGGGUAGCAAACAGGAUUAGAUACCCUGGUAGUCCACGCUGUAAACGAUGAGUGCUAGGUGUUGGGUAGCGAUAUUCAGUGCCGAAGUAAACACAAUAAGCACUCCGCCUGGGGAGUACGGUCGCAAGACUGAAACUCAAAGGAAUUGACGG
rnacentral:rRNA from 1 species